UGGUCAUUACCAAGGCUGCUAGGAUGCCUCUGUUUCUGGCAAGCUGUGGACAUGACCACAAAGUAAGGCCACCAGACUCCUGACAUGCCACAGUGUGUGGCACUGGGUCUGCUGGGAAUAAAR
rnacentral:snoRNA from 1 species